AGAGUGAACGCUGGCGGCAGGCCUAACACAUGCAAGUCGAGCGGCAGCGCAGCGGUAGCAAUACUGUGGGCGGCGAGCGGCGGACGGGUGAGGAACACAUCGGAAUCUACCCUGUCGUGGGGGACAACGUAGGGAAACUUACGCUAAUACCGCAUACGACCUUUGGGUGAAAGCGGGGACCAGCAAUGGCCUCGCGCGAUUGGAUGAGCCGAUGUCCGAUUAGCUAGGUUGGCGGGGUAAUGGCCCACCAAGGCGACGAUCGGUAGCU
rnacentral:rRNA from 1 species